rnacentral:rRNA from 1 species
UGGGGAAUAUUGCACAAUGGGCGCAAGCCUGAUGCAGCCAUGCCGCGUGUGUGAAGAAGGCCUUCGGGUUGUAAAGCACUUUCAGCGGGGAGGAAGGCGAUAAGGUUAAUAACCUUGUCGAUUGACGUUACCCGCAGAAGAAGCACCGGCUAACUCCGUGCCAGCAGCCGCGGUAAUACGGAGGGUGCAAGCGUUAAUCGGAAUUACUGGGCGUAAAGCGCACGCAGGCGGUCUGUCAAGUCGGAUGUGAAAUCCCCGGGCUCAACCUGGGAACUGCAUUCGAAACUGGCAGGCUAGAGUCUUGUAGAGGGGGGUAGAAUUCCAGGUGUAGCGGUGAAAUGCGUAGAGAUCUGGUGGAAUACCGGUGGCGAAGGCGGCCCCCUGGACAAAGACUGACGCUCAGGUGCGAAAGCGUGGGGAGCAAACAGG